ACGAACGCUGGCGGCGUGCUUAACACCUGCAAGUCGAACGGAAAGGCCCUGCUUUUGUGGGGUGCUCGAGUGGCGAACGGGUGAGUAACACGUGAGUAACCUGCCCUUGACUUUGGGAUAACUUCAGGAAACUGGGGCUAAUACCGGAUAGGAGCUCCUGCUGCAUGGUGGGGGUUGGAAAGUUUCGGCGGUUGGGGAUGGACUCGCGGCUUAUCAGCUUGUUGGUGGGGUAGUGGCUUACCAAGGCUUUGACGGGUAGCCGGCCUGAGAGGGUGACCGGCCACAUUGGGACUGAGAUACGGCCCAGACUCCUACGGGAGGCAGCAGUGGGGAAUAUUGCACAAUGGGCGGAAGCCUGAUGCAGCAACGCCGCGUGCGGGAUGACGGCCCUCGGGUUGUAACCCGCUUUCGCCUGUGACGAAGCGUGAGUGACGGUAAUGGGUAAAGAAGCACCGGCUAACUACGUG
rnacentral:rRNA from 1 species